CUCCACUUUUUGUUUGCUGAUUGUGUGCAAGUGUGCAGUCAGUUUUGCUGACGUUCAUACAUGAGAGAUUCUGAAACAUGGGAGUAAUUUGAUGCAUACGCUUUGCUUGCUACAGUAAAUUACAGCCUUUCCUUGCCCAGGAGCUGAGCUAUAGUUUUUCUUCUGUUUCACAGUGUGAUACGUUGCCUUAAUUGCACCAUCUAUUGUGACAUUUUUGAUGCUUUUCAUUUUUGUCUUUCAUUGUGGGUGCUCCAACACGAGUAAAUGACACUACAGCAUUCAGAAAGCUUGUCAGGCUGUGUUCAGGUCAGCACUUCGUCAGUGACUGCUGUGAAAAAUAGUCAAUGAACAUCAAAGUUAUAGGACCUUGAAAAGGCAGUCAGGAGGAGCAGCCUGGAAAUCUGCAGAACAGAAGCACCUAAAGAAAGCAGAUUUCAUAUUGAUUAGUCUCUUCCUUAAGUAUAGUGGACCCACCACAGGGAUGAAUGUCAUCUUUACAGAGGAAGAAAAAUAACAGGAAGAAUUACAUCGUGCGGCAGUUUUUCAUUGCGGUGAAUUUAAGGUGGCUGUCAGGCAGACACCGAGCCAAGCUGAUGGCUUUCUGCUUGCAGAGGGAACAGCUCACAGGUAGCCUUACAGAUUCAGCAGGUAAGUGAGUGUACUGGUUCCUGCUACUUCUGGAAGCAAGGUUACCCAGUAAAGCUGAUACCGUUCUGCCAGUUCUCUCAUAGCUGCAAGAUUGUCUACCAUGCUUUGAACUCAGGAAAUCUUGUUUUUGAAACAUGCAACUCAGCAGUCAUGGAAGAGAGAAAGCUGUGGAAGAGGAAUAGAGGAGGGCUGCCCACCUCCUCCUUCAGAUGGGAAAGUCCUCACAGUUGUUUUCCCGCCAACCACGUCUGAACAUUGGAAUCUGCCCCAAGUUUCUGCGUGAGUUGAUGAGAAGAUGUGCUUUGGGCUGAUGCUAAUAAUUUUGAUUUCUGGGACUGGAAAUAAAGACAAAAAGGCACCUUAAUUCUAUCCACUAAAUCUUCUCAGAGGAAUUCUCUUGGCCUCUUCUGUUACAAGCAUCAUCCUUUGGUUUUCUCUUCAAAACUAUUUUAUAUACUGGGAGUCGUCAUCCCGGGAGGCAUGAACAAGAAUCUGGUGACAGGAGCAUCAUGAAGUUCAAGACUUCAAAUGUGAAGUCCUGCACCCUGUAAAUAGUGACACCAUGCAACAGUACAAACUGGGGACAGGCUGACUAGAAACUAGCUUUACAUAAGAGGACCUAGAGGUCCUGAUGGACAUCGAGCUGAAUGUGAGUCAAGAAUGUGCCACUGCGUGAAUGAGAGCCAAGCACAAAAGACACUGGGCUGCAUUAGUAACAGCAGAGGCAGUGGGUUGAGAUAGCCAGCAGAGGUGAAUAUUGCACCCCUCUGAGGAGAAGAAAAUCCCCCAGGCAAGCAGAGAGCAAGAUUGACAUUUCUCAUUAUUUCUGUACUCCAGGUAAUAUAUAUAAACUUUUUUUUUUUCCCUGGGAGCCCUUCAAACCAAGCAAAUGAAGACAUUUCUUCUGUACAGUCAACGACACUCCAAAAGGUCUGAUCUGCUCUCUGAAAUUUCCCCUGAUUUUGCUGUGGCCCUCAGGCUGUAACUCACUGAUCUCAGGCACACAACGUGGCUAUCCCAAAAUCUCAAGUUUUGCUUUGACCAAGUAUUUACCAUAACGAAUAGAAACUAUUCCUUGAACAACAACGUCUUUUACCACUUGCAAAUCUCCAUCUAAUCUGACUGUCCUUAUCUAUAAGCGGAGAGAAUGAAAAGCAGAGAUAUAAAACCCAAAGGUUAAGUACAUAUUUUUUGCAACUGUUUAAUGUUCAGCAUUCUCAUGCUGUGAAGAACAUGCAAAGUUUCUGCAUUCUUUCUAUUGGGUGCAUUCGUUACCAAAGCAGACUUGCUAUCGGUUUGGGAUGUAAACUGACCUGGUGUCACUGCAAUUUGCCUGUUUUCAUGUGUGUGCUUGGUUUGCUUUUGGCAUACAGGCACUUACGGCUGAUCCAAAGUCAUUCAAAAGCUCAGCAGAUGCUUCUGUGAAUCUCUUCUAUGUUUAGAAAUGGAAAUGAAGCACGAAACCAGGUGCUUUCUGUGCUGUCCUGAAUUAUGGAUUUUAUCCUUCAUGUUAUAACACAGUUUACUUGUCUUCUGGUUUAUCGUUUUUGAAGAAGGUAUGAGGUAAAAUACCAAGAUCUCCCUGACAAAGUCUUGUAGGACUCCAGGAACUGCUGUCUUCUGUACGGGUCCUCUCCAAUUCAACAGCACCCUUUCAGCUGACAUCAAAAGGGGAGAUCAGAAAAGAAGAUUUUCGGAGUCUCUUCCUCUAACUCUUGCAACUUACUCUUGGGAACUGGUAUUAUCAGGCGAGUAUGGACUGGAUGAUCUCCAGAGGUCCCUUCCAACCACUGCGAUUCUGUGAUUCUGAUUCUAAUCUCACAGAGAAUAUGGGACUAAUAUUUCUAAGUUUAAGAAUCAGAGGGUUUUUUUCAAACCAUUUUAGGAGGAGGCAAGAAACACUUUGGUUUAGCUUUCUGGUCUGAAAAUAUCAAUAGUUUGUUGCAUUUUUGAAAAGAGCCACAGGAAUCAUAGAUCAAAGAACCAUAGAAUGGCUUGAGUUGGAAGAGACCACAAAGCCCACGCAGCCCCAACCCUCUGCCAUGGGCAGGGCUGCCCCCCACCAGCUCAAGCUGCCCAGGACCCCAUCCAACCUGGCCCUGAGUGCCUCCAGGGAUGGGGCACCCACAGCUUCUCUGGGCAGCUGUGCCAGGGCCUCACCGCCCUCUGAGUAAAGAUUUUCUGCCUAACAUCUAACCCAAAUCUCCCCACUUUUAGUUUAAAGCCAUUUUCCCUUGUCCUAUCGCUAUUAGACUGUGUGAGAUGUUGGUUCUCCUCCUGUUUAUAAACUCCUCUCAAGUACUGGAAGGCCACAGAGAGGUGUCCCCGGAGCCUUCUCUUCUCCAGGCUGAACAAGCCCAGCUCCCUCAGCCUUUCUUCACAGGAGAGGUGCUCCAGCCCUCUGAGCAUCUUCGUGGCCCUCAUCUAGACAUUCUCCAACAGCUCCACAUCUUUCUUGUGCUGGAGGCCCCAGGUCUGAAUGCAGUACUGGGCCUCAUGAAGGCAGAGCAGAGGGGAAUAAUCACCUUCCUCUCCCUGCUGGCCACCCCUCUGUUGAUGCUGACCAGGAUACUGUUGGCCUUCUGGGCUGCAAGAGCACACUGGUGGCUCAUGUCAAGCCUAUUAUCUAUCAGAGACCGUGGGUCCUCCUCCGCGGGGCUGCCCUCAAUGAGUUCUUCUCCCAGACUGUACACGUAUCAGGAAUUACCCUGACCUGAGUGCAACACCUUGGUCAAGCCAUUGCUCUCAUGGCUACGGGUUUGUUGUUUGGACACAAUAAUGUACAGAUGGGCUUUGCAUUUAUCAAGAAUAAUCACCAGCUGAGAUGCUGAGUGGAGGAAAACUAUUAUCGUCGUGACUGACCAGAGUCUGGCAGCAUUCUUUGUUGUUUGUGGCUUAUUCUUGAAAUUAGAUUUCAGAGACUAAACUGACCUCUCUGUAAGCUGAGCUCAGAAGAUGAAGGCCAAUAAUGGGAGAAGGAGCACAUCUCAAGGCAAAAGGUUUAACCGUCUGCCUCUUGGUAACCUGCAGGAAAUCCACCAAACAUCAUUUCAUUUGCAGUGAUUAAAGGUGAACAAUAUAGCUCUGUGUAGGAUUUCUUGCAUUUGAGACACGUUUCAUUAAUUAUUACCUCUUCAUUUAUAUUUUCUACUCUAGAAUAAGUCUUGCUGUGGGAAGCGGGGUGUAGGAAACACGAGGUGGUGCUUUUCAGCGACAAACCUUCAACUAUGGCAUUGUUUUUCAUACUUGCAAUAUUCAGCCACAGUAUCCACAAGGGAGGUACCACAAUUGCAAAAUGCUAUUUAAAAUAAUGGCGUGUUUUAGAAGAGCUUCCAAUGUCUCUCAUAAUAUUUGCAGAUAAUCUCAGUUUGCCAAUCUGUCAAGUAAUUAUUCUCCAUCUGUGAUAUCCAGUGAUAACCAGUUAGACUUUCAAAUUCAUUUUUACCAACAUUGGUGAGCUCAUCACUCGCCUGUUGAAAGAACAGAACACAAACAUUAAAAAAGUGCAAAGGCAAUGUAUUUAUUAUUGUAGCAUGCAGUCAAACCUGCAUAAUAACUACUAAUUAAAGUGUUAAGGCCUUAAUUUUAGAAAGACAGAGAGGCUUUCUGCUUUUGUACAGUACCAUACACACAUCAUUUUUAUGCUUUGCUUUCUGUGAUUAGUGACCAAGGCCUGGCAUGAGACAAUUUUACUUAAUCAGCUGUAUGCAUUAAAUACCAGCAGCUGCAAUUAGACAUUCUUUUGUAUCACAUACUACGCUUCACGCUGCUAUUUGCUCCUGACCUUGGCAGGCACUUCUGCUGUGUUUGGAGAGGAGCACAGUGAAAUUCAGAAUUCUUUUUUUCACAGCCUGGAUGUUGGCAGAUGUGCACACACAUUCUUGCCCCACAGACCAAACAGAGCAACUUCAGAAGUGCAGCAGGAGUUCCUUUAAAACAGACUGGGAAGGAAAGGUGGGAAUGAACGAAACCUCUACCCCGUGCCUUAACACUUUUGAGUACGAUGUUGGUUUGCAAUGCUUACGUAUCACUUUGGACAUUACACAUUGGCACUGAGUACCUAAAACAAGAGACUUGAGCUUUCCAUUUGCUUUGCACAUCUGUUUUGUCGGGUCCUGUGCUCGUAGCAUCAUUUUUUCCCAGCUGCAGUAUCACAACUGGACACUAGAGAGCUCCUUUUACCAAAGACAUCUCUCCAACGUGAGGGCAGAGCCCUGUGAGCAGAUUCUCAGGAGUGCAGAUGACUACUGAAGAAGCAAGGACCUCUAAGGAGGGUCCACUUCAGCCCACCUCCAGUCUGAGGGUCAUUUAGACAUAUGGAACAACGCAGAGAGAAAAGGGAGCACUGAAAAGCUGCUCCAGUAAUUCCCAGCUGCCUCUUCCCCACUCUACUUCCUCCUGAUGCUGCCCUUUUCAAUUGGCCACUGAACUGGGGUUUCAAAUUAUUUCUCUCGAGAAGCUGUACAGAGUUUUAUUGCUUUGAUUCUAACUGAUCUAUUGGCUGCCUGCGCAUUUCUCAGCCACUUUCUGAAAACAGCAGCUGGUACAGAUGAUGUUUGCAGGUGAAAAGUGGAGCUGCCUAAUAGCUUUCCAGCUGAUAUAGCACCAGCACUGGAUUAGGUCAUUGUAAUGGCAGCUGAAAACUUUGCUUUAACACAGCUUGAGCAGCUCGGUACACCUUGGUUUAGUGAGAAGAAGCAGUGUCCAGCGUGGCUGGUUGAGGUACUGCUGUAUCUCAAGUGUUUGUCCAACACGAGCACCAGAAAGUUGAGCACAGUGAAAUAAAACCAGAUCUGCUUGCGAAAACAAAAUGGAAAAAAGUCACCUGAAAGAAAAAUCCAUAUUCCUUUCUCAGUAGCUUUUAUGAAAACUUUUUCCUUCCUCAAAUUACAGUGACUCCAUGUGGCUUACUCCACAAUGCAGAUUUUAAUAUAUUUUUACUAAAAUUUAUUCCAGCUGUUGCUAAUCAUAGAGAUAUGAAUAAUAUUAUUAUACAGAGAAAAAUCUUGACUAGACUUGGUGCAGAUUUAUUCAUUUGUAAUUUUUCCAUCUUAAAUCCAAAUAUUAAAAGCCAGAUGAAAGGAAGGAAAGGUAAUUGUAACUGCUGGCUUCUACUUCACCAUGAUGAAAUUGAGCUUGCUCAGUAAUCAAAGAAUAAGCGUAGAGAUUUUUAUCAGAGUAUCUGAUUUUAUCAGACCAUUUGCAGGGACUGCAAUUCAAUAGAAACCGGGGAUGCCAGAUCUUUCGUAUAAAUCACUUUUGGGAGAGGACUGCUGCUGAGCUCCAGCUCAGACAUGCCCAGAAAAAAAUCAACCAACUGAAGUUGAAUAGGGAACACACUGGGGGUCUUCAAACUCUGUCAUUAUUGCAGCAUGUAAACUUCUAGGAGGCCAUUACAUUGAGAAAUGUGCUGCCAGCUCUGAAGGCUGAGUCCAGUCAUAGAAUCAUAGAAUGGUUUGGGUUGGAAGGGACCUUUAAUAUCAUCCAGUUCCAACCCUCUGCUAUGGGCAGGGACACCUCCCUCUAGACCAGGUUGCUCAAAGUCCCAUCCAGCCUGGCCUUGAAUGCUUCCAGGGAGGGGGCAUUCACAACCUUUCUGGGCAACCUGUUCCAGUGUCUCACCACACUCACAGUAAAUAACUGCUUCCUGAUAUCUAGUCUAAGUCUACUGAUUCAGUUCAGUCCUUGGUCGAAAAUGCAUCCUUCACCUCACCAAAGUCAGAUUCUUUUUCACAACCCAGUGCCUCCGUACAGUGGUGUUAUGAAUUCCAUCCACUAAGUAUGGAUCUGCGUUCUGUGUCCAAACCUAUUUCUUAUGCCGCAUUUACUUCCAGUGCCCAACCAUACAGAAAUUUACCCAUGCCUUUGCACAGCAGGAAGCAUAUGGUGCCUGAGUUACUCAAGUCCAUUUCUCAGGAAAGCAGUCCUUUAAAAACAACUUCUGUCCAUCAAGGCCCCCUCUUCAAACAGCCUCACAUUCAUGCUGUUCUGCUUGUGGUAAGAAUCAGUGUUCCAGCUACAGCAAAAAUGCAGUUUGCACUGUAAGAGGAGGAAAUAAAUGUCGGGUCAUCUAAGAGUCCUUCAUUCACUCAGCCAAAAAUGAGACUACCCUGAAUUUUCCCUUUUUCAUUUUUGUGGUACUGAGUCAUGAGUUGAUUUCUUUGGGAAAAAAAAAAGAGAAGAAAAUCUAAAACUGUCUUGUAGUUAAUCAGUAUUAGAUAGAUGGCUAAGUGACAGCUCAUAUGACUCAGGCCCUUUAGGCUGCACUUAUCCCUUGCUCUCAUGCUAUAAAACACGCUUUUCCAG
rnacentral:lncRNA from 1 species